GCAGAGAACCACACACACACACCUGAGACGCCCCCGCCCGCCCGCCCCAGAGCAGAGAGCUGUCCUAGACGGCUUCGGCCCGUGUUGACCGGGAUAGACCCCUCGAAGGCGAGGAAGGCUACCGGACCUGGAGAGACCGCGCGCUCAGGAGAGGCAACCCCCUUUUCUUGGCUACCGGAAGAAUCACUUGCUAUAUAAGGACCUUGGACAAAGAGUGAGACCCUAGUCCGGAACGACAGGAUUGAGGGCCCUUGUAUUGUUGGUCCAUGAUCUCUUUCCAAAAUUAGCAACCCCAUCUUUGUCACCAAGUAGGUAAGGACCAUCAGUCCCCACAACCUGUCCCUGACUA
rnacentral:lncRNA from 1 species